ensembl:lncRNA novel transcript
AAGGAGGAAGACCUGAGGAGAUACAGGGCAGAAAAAGGAAUAACAUCACUAUUGGAAAAUCUUAGAUCAGUGCUUGAGAUAUUUUGCCAACACUGAAAUUGAUGGACCAGCUGGCACCACCCAGAUUGACAAAAUGGCUCAUCUGAUCUUGUGCCCCCUCAACCCAGGAACUGACUCAACAGAAGAGCACAGCUUUGACUCCGUAUGAUUUCAUUUCCAACACAACCAAUCAGCACUCCUGACCACUGGCCCCCAACCCACCAAAUUAUCCUUAAAAACUCCAAUCCCUGAAUGCUCGGCAAGACUGAUUUGAGUAAUAAUAUUUCAGUCUCCUGCACAGCCGACUCUGUGUGGAUAACUCUUUCUCUAUUGCAGCUCUCCUGUCUUGAUAAAUUGGCUCUGUCUAGGCAGCAGGCAAGGUGAACCCACUGGGCAGUUACUGUAGCCUCCACCUAAUAGAAUUCUAAUUUAGUGCCUCGUAGAAAGAAUGAAGUCCUUCAGUGAUCAGCAUGGGAAUCAUUUUGCUUAGCUUAUCUCACCUAGGAACCAUGCUCC